GUAUAAGGCAAAAGGUAACAAGCAGACUCCGCGAGAAGGGUCUGGCUGCAGACCAUGGGCGAGUGGAGCUCCACUUUCAAACCGGAAAUACGUCACCUCCACUUGAAAACAUCAAGAUGGCGUCGCCGGGAGUACUUCAAACUUAAACUCAGGGAUAGGAUUGGCAUAGAAGAUGCAGCACUCUUUACAUUUUAAAUAUCAAAAUGUAUAUCAAGUGUUAUCCAUCCUCAUAACACCUCCACAAAUAGAGACUGAAACUUCUGAGCACCAUCACCUUGUCUGCUAUGGGACUGUCAUAGCCCAGCAAUCAGAUGCAUCAGAACAACAAAGCACAACUGUGGUGGACCAGGCACCUUCAGCAACAAGUAAAUUGCUUUAACAUUAAUGAUAAUUAAAUGUCAGUAUUGUAAUUAAACUUGACCCAUCUGACGUAAUUGUUCAUGCCAGAGAUUUAACAACACUGUCAGUCAGGAGCAUAUUUAACAGGAGCCACACUCAACUGGCUUGAUGGUGACUUCAGUGCAGUGAAGAUAUUUAAAAAGACACUAUCUAAAGUACAGAAAGCCGUACAUAAUCUCUAGUUGCAGUCGCCUACAGUGCAGCCAGCUUCACAAAGACUGUGGGGCUGGUCACCAGGAAAAUGGCCAACAAGGAGUGCUUUUGGGGUUUUACUCCUCAGAUGACCACCCUGGCUACUGUAGCUGGGAUUGCUUCACAGACAAUGAAGGUCUUGAAGAGUAAAGUGUGCAUGCAUGUGAACACAUUGUGUUAUUACAGUAACAAUUAUGGUCACUUGCAGUUCAUGUCUUUUCAAUGUAGUGUAAGAUGUGUUAAUUAUUAUUAUUACUCAAAAACCAUUAAAACUUCUAAAUUGUGGAAGUUAUUCUUCAUAAUUUUACUGUGGUUAUUUUGUAUAUGUUGUUAUUUUGAUUAAAAUACAAAAUUCAACACACAUAAUUC